UACGGAGGGUGCAAGCGUUAAUCGGAAUUACUGGGCGUAAAGGGUGCGUAGGUGGUUUAAUAAGUUAUGUGUGAAAGUCCUGGGCUUAACCUAGGGAUUGCAGAUGAGACUGUUAGACUUGAGUAUGGGAGAGGGCAGUGGAAUUUCCGGUGUAGCGGUGAAAUGCGUAGAGAUCGGAAGGAACACCAGUGGCGAAGGCGACUGCCUGGCCUGUUACUGACACUGAGGCACGAAAGCGUGGGGAGCAAACAGG
rnacentral:misc_RNA from 1 species